rnacentral:rRNA from 1 species
CCAAUAGCGUAUAUUAAAGUUGUUGCAGUUAAAAAGCUCGUAGUUGAACUUCGGGGUUUACCCAUUGGUCAGGCUUAAUUGUCUGUACUGGUGAGAUGAAUCUCUACCUUCUGAGGAACUUUCAUGUCAUUUAUUUGGUGUGAUUGGAAAUCAGGACUGUUACUUUGAAAAAAUUAGAGUGUUUAAAGCAGGCUAACGUCUGAAUACAUUAGCAUGGAAUAAUGAAAUAGGACGGACUGAUUCUAUUUCGUUGGUUUCUAGGAUCACCGUAAUGAUUAAUAGGGAUAGUUGGGGGCAUUAGUAUUCAAUUGUCAGAGGUGAAAUUCUUGGAUUUAUUGAAGACUAACUACUGCGAAAGCAUUUGCCAAGGAUGUUUUCAUUAAUCAAGAACGAAAGUUAGGGGAUCGAAGACGAUCAGAUACCGUCGUAGUCUUAACCAUAAACUAUGCCGACUAGGGAUCGGACGAAGUUAAUUUUAUAAUGACGCGUUCGGCACCUUACG